AGAGAAUUGAAGAACUGAAGACACAAAUAACGGAAGUACAAGAGAAAAGCGAAUCAGCACCAAUGGACUUCGAUUGCAUGUCAAACUUCUAUGGCAAGCUACCAAAGGAACGGCAAGCGUUUCUGAAAGCCCACCGUCCUUGGCUGUACAACCAGUACAUGCACAGCAAACGAUUCAUCAGAAGUGAAGUGCGCAAACACUUCCCCAUCGCCACCACAUUUGCGUCGGCG